UAAGGAAUAUUGGUCAAUGGACGCAAGUCUGAACCAGCCAUGCCGCGUGCAGGACGACGGCCCUCUGGGUUGUAAACUGCUUUUAUACGGGAAUAAACCUACCCUUGCGAGGGUAGCUGAAUGUACCGUAAGAAUAAGGAUCGGCUAACUCCGUGCCAGCAGCCGCGGUAAUACGGAGGAUCCAAGCGUUAUCCGGAUUUAUUGGGUUUAAAGGGUGCGUAGGCGGCCUAUUAAGUCAGGGGUGAAAGACGGUAGCUCAACUAUCGCAGUGCCCUUGAUACUGAUGGGCUUGAAUACACUGGAAGUAGGCGGAAUGUGACAAGUAGCGGUGAAAUGCAUAGAUAUGUCACAGAACACCGAUUGCGAAGGCAGCUUACUAUCGUGUUAUUGACGCUGAGGCACGAAAGCGUGGGGAUCGAACA
rnacentral:rRNA from 1 species